ACCUAAAUAGUUUAGUUUAGAAUAAUAAUUUGUGGUGUUAUAGGUGAUUUUUAUCUUUAGGUU
rnacentral:tRNA from 1 species